rnacentral:lncRNA from 1 species
GAAGAUUUUUUAUGAAACUUUUGGAUCAAAAGAUCAAGAAAACCUUCUGGACACAAGAACAUAAGGAAUUGAAAAAAAUUUAGAAAACAAAGGAUAUAACCCGAUUAAAUUGGAGUCAAAGCUCUGAUCCAACUGAUGCAAACCCCUUAGCAAUGGAAACUACGAAACCCACAACAAGAUUGAUGCGGAACCCAAGAACGCCAAUACUAACCCGAUUUUGGAUCUUGAACCCCAAGAAUUGAACCAAGAAACCCUAUAUUAGCGAAGAAUCUAAAACCCCUUGAUUACAAUUAAAAGAACCCACAAUCCGAUUUACUAGAACGCCACAAGAGUUGAAUCUUGAUAAGUUCCAAGAUUGUUCAAGAAGAACAAGAAAUUGAAAGAAUAAUUCUCUCUCUAUAAUAUUAAGCAAAAGUCAAAAGUUCAAAAGUUGUUACAAUGAAAAGUAUUCUCCUAUUUAUACUAAGGAGUAAAAACGUCCAAAAUCCAUCAAAUUAUGGUAAUAAUUUGAUUCAUAAGAAUUCUAUCGAAACUAGGAAAUUCGGCCAAAAUUAGAAAAUUCACCAAUUUUUUUGGCUUGUGCGGCCGCAUGGUGUAAAUCCACGCGGUCGCAUGGUUCAAUAGGAAUUAGUCUUUUGGUUUUCGGUAUGCAUGUGUGCGGCCGCAUGUGGUUUUGCCUGUGCGGCCGCAUGGUGUUGUUUUCAGCCUCCGCUUUCGUCGCUUGAUAACAAAUUGAUCCAAAUUGAUUUGACUUUCGACCCGAACAUGAAAGUUGCUCCAUUUUGAGUCCCGAACAUGGUUCCAUCAAUGGUUUCUUGAACGAGCAAUCCCAUCGCUUGUUUCACUUACUUUGCCCUUGAUCGCGUCAUUGGUCCGCCAUCGACUAUCAACGGAGUCUCGUCUCGCACUUGCCUUCGUAUGGCUCGACUCCUGGAUCAUAUCAUUCUCCAAGUUACAAAAUUUCCCCAUACAAAGGUACAAUAGCCUGUAGUUGAUCUUCUAUCUUCUAUUGAACCAGCUAAUCUGCAUCAGCAAAGAUUUCUACCUUUUUCUUUUCAUUUUUCUUAAAGAAAAGUCCUUUUCCAGGAGUUCCUUUAAGAUAUCUAAGAAUUUUGUAUACUGCUUCUAGAUGAAUUUCCUUUGGAGAGUGCAUAUAUUGACUAACCACACUAAUCUCAAAUGCAAUAUCAGGUCUAGUGUGUGAGAGAUAGAUCAAUUUGCCAACUAAUCGCUAGUAUCUAUCCUUUUCAAUUGAUUCUCCAGUGUUUUCUUCCUUCCUUCCGGUCUCUAUUGGUGGGUCACUUGGUUUGCGACCAAGUAUGCCAGUUUCCGUUAGAAGAUAAAGAAUGUACUUUCAUUGUGAAACACUGAUGCCUUUCUUUGAUCUGGCAACCUCCAUUCCCAAAAAGUACCUCAUCUGUCCCAAGUCUUUCACUUUGAACUCCAGGGCUAGGCUCUUCUUAAGCCUUUCUAUUUCCACUAUAUUAUCUCCAGUUAAAAUGAUGUCAUCAACAUAAACAAUUAAGAUUGUUUUCAUCCUUGUUUUAGAUAAUUGGUAGAAUAUUGUAUGGUCUGACUACCCUCGUUGAUAUCCUUGACUUCUCAAUACUUUUGCGAAUCUGUCGAACCAUGCUCUUGGUGAUUGUUUGAGACCGUACAAGGAUUUUUUGAGUUUACAUACCUUAUUUUCUUCCUCGCUUUCAUAGAAGCUUGGGGGUAAUGUCAUAAAAACCUCUUCUUCUAAUUCUCCAUUUAAGAAGGCAUUCUUGAUGUCUAACUGUUGGAGAGGCCAAUCCAAAUUUGCAGCUAAGGAUAAGAUAACUCGGAUUGUAUUCAAUUUUGCUACAGGGGUGAAUGUUUCUGUGUAGUCAAUGCCGUAGGUCUGUGUGUAUCCCUUUGCAACAAGAUGAGCCUUGUAUCGUUCUAUUAUCCCAUUUGAUUUGUACUUCACAUUAAAGACCCAUUUGCACUCGACGGGUCCUUUCUCCCUUGGUAAGUUUACCAUAUCCCAAGUUUUGUUUUUUUCAGUGCUCGCAUUUCUUCCAAAACUGCUUCUUUCCAUUUGGGAGUAGCCAUGGCCUCCUGAAUGUUCUUUGGAAUUUCUGUAUUAUCAAGGUUAUAAGAGAAAGUGCGAAAUCCUGCAGAUAGAGUGUUAUAUAAAACAAAUUUUGAGAUAGGGUGUAGAGUACAUGACCGAGGUUGUUUUCGGAGAGCAAUAGGUAGAUCACUUUCUGGAGCUAUCAUCGGUUCGAACUCUUUUGGUGCUUCAAAUGUGAGGUUCUCCUUAUACAUUGAUUUCGACUUUCUUGAGUAAACUAAUAUCUCCUUGCUAACUUGUUUUUCAGCAUCUCCCAUUGAGUUUAAGUUUAUCUUUGUAGAUGGCAUGUUAGGACUAGGACCAGGAAGAGUAAUUGAUUCGGAUUC